rnacentral:rRNA from 1 species
UACGGAGGGAGCUAGCGUUGUUCGGAAUUACUGGGCGUAAAGCGCGCGUAGGCGGCUAUUUAAGUCAGGGGUGAAAUCCCGGGGCUCAACCCCGGAACUGCCUUUGAAACUGGAUAGCUAGAAUCCUGGAGAGGCGAGUGGAAUUCCGAGUGUAGAGGUGAAAUUCGUAGAUAUUCGGAAGAACACCAGUGGCGAAGGCGACUCGCUGGACAGGUAUUGACGCUGAGGUGCGAAAGCGUGGGGAGCAAACAGG